UUCUGUUAUUUCAGGCAGCACUUGAUCUACGGGCAAUGGAAGAAGCUGUGUCUACUUACAGAACUAAUUCAACCAGUAAACACUUCAUGAAAUGUAGAAAAUUCCUUGAACCAUUUGCUGCAACCAAAGAUAAUGAGUUUGUAGAGGAACAUUUGAAGAUGUUUAAAAACCAUAUGAGACUACAGCUGUUGUGUUUUAAAGAAAAUGAAAUUAUAACUGUGUAGCUGUCUGUGUUAUAAAAUUAAAGUUUCUACCACUGAACUCACAAA